UACGGAGGGUGCGAGCGUUGUUCGGAAUUACUGGGCGUAAAGCGUGCGCAGGCGGUUUUGUAAGUUUGUCGUGAAAUCCCCGGGCUCAACCUGGGAAUGGCGAUGAAGACUGCAAGGCUAGAAUCUGGCAGAGGGGGGUAGAAUUCCACGUGUAGCAGUGAAAUGCGUAGAUAUCUGGAGGAACACCGGUGGCGAAGGCGGCAUCCUGGACCAAUUCUGACGCUGAGGAGCGAAAGCCAGGGGAGCAAACGGG
rnacentral:rRNA from 1 species